UACGUAGGUGACAAGCGUUGUCCGGAUUUACUGGGCGUAAAGAGCGCGCAGGCGGUCGUUCAAGUCGAGUGUGAAAGCCCCCGGCUCAACUGGGGAGGGUCACUCGAUACUGAUCGACUCGAAGGCAGGAGAGGGUAGUGGAAUUCCCGGUGUAGUGGUGAAAUGCGCAGAUAUCAGGAAGAACACCCGUGGCGAAGGCGGCUUUCUGGGACGGUACUGACGCUGAGACGCGAAAGCGUGGGGAGCGAACAGG
rnacentral:rRNA from 1 species